rnacentral:rRNA from 1 species
AUUGAACGCUGGCGGCAUGCCUAACACAUGCAAGUCGAACGGAAACGAUGGAAGCUUGCUUCCAGGCGUCGAGUGGCGGACGGGUGAGUAAUACUUAGGAAUCUGCCCAGUAGUGGGGGACAACUCGGGGAAACUCGAGCUAAUACCGCAUACGCCCUACGGGGGAAAGCGGAGGAUCUUUCGAGACUUCGCGCUAUUGGAUGAGCCUAAGUCGGAUUAGCUUGUUGGUGAGGUAAAAGCUCACCAAGGCGACGAUCCGUAGCUGGUCUGAGAGGACGAUCAGCCACACUGGGACUGAGACACGGCCCAGACUCCUACGGGAGGCAGCAGUGGGGAAUAUUGGACAAUGGGGGCAACCCUGAUCCAGCAAUGCCGCGUGUGUGAAGAAGGCCUGCGGGUUGUAAAGCACUUUCAGUAGAGAAGAAAAGUUCAGGGUUAAUACCCCUGAAUCUUGACGUUACCUACAGAAGAAGCUCCGGCUAACUCCGUGCCAGCAGCCGCGGUAAUACGGAGGGAGCGAGCGUUAAUCGGAAUUACUGGGCGUAAAGCGCGCGUAGGCGG